CUCUCUGUUUUGGCAAUUGGUAAUUUUCUUUGUAACGAAAUUGUCCAUCCGUCUCCCUUUUCAGAUCUCCGAUCUAUUUAAAAGUAAUCAAAAUUCUCAGACAAUGAAAAAAGUUUGGGCAACGAGAUCUGGAAGCAAUCAAGCCAUGGAGAGCAAAGCUAGGAGUAAGGUUCGCCGGGAUCGCUACUAACAGUGGUGGACGACUAUGGUAGACGAAGGAGAAGGGACAACAUCGUCAAUAUAUAAUGAAAACAUGAACUCAAAUACUCGAAUACAAAUUAAUAUUGCAUUGGCUCAAUAGAGUUUGUCGCCACAAUCCAUAGCCAUGUUGCAAAUCCCUCAGGCCUCAGCGUAUCACCCUAUAUAUACUUCCUUAACGCAUAUAUAUAUAUAUUUACCAUGAUUCACCGCAACCUAGCCUCCUUGAGCUCAAAGCUCCCAUCAAUAUCUUUGGUAAUAUUCCUGGACAGUACUCGGGUAUGUUGAGGCUGUUAGAUUACGGAAGCUUCCCUCCUACAGCUAACUAUUUAUUCUUAGGAGAUUACAUGGACCAAAGGUGGCAGAGUUUGGAGACAAUCAGUCUUCUACUUGCCUACAAAAUCAAAUACCCGAGAAUCUUUUCCUUCUAAGAUAAAACCACUAAUGGCUUCCAUCCACAGAAUCUACGGAUUCUACAAUGGAUUCAACCGUCUAUUCAGUAUUACAAACAUGAAGCGACCUACUAAUGUUCCAGCCUCUGGUCAGCUCUGUGAUUUGCUUUGUCUGAUCAAGCAAAGAUGUCAAAAUCCUGGUCGAUGAACCACCGUGAAGUCUCUUACACGUUUGGGCCUGAAAACGUUGAUGAGUUUCUAAGAAAGAACGACAUGGAUCUCAUCUGUAAUGCUCAACAGCGUAGAGGAUGGUUAUGACUUUUUUCUGAUCGACAGCUUGCUAUUAUAUUCUCUGCUCCUAACUACUGUAGUGACUUUGACAAUGCUGGUGCAUUGAUAAGUGUUGAUGAAAGUUUAAUGUACUGUUUCCAAAUUCUUAAGCAUGUGGAUCGGAGGCCUGGUCUUAUGAUAAAAAGAGUUUGAACCUCUCGGGGAAAGAAGACGAAAUUGGCAACAUGAAGCUGGGAAAGAGACAUUUGACACUACUUGAGACUUUGUCAUGAGGCCUGCAAGGAGGCUUAAAAUGCAUGUUAUAUCGUAUCUUCAUGAACACACGCCAUUUCUUUUCUUAAAACUGUAUGGUUUUAUGAUCUUCUCUGACUCAUAUAUUGGGCAGUAAAAAUUCUACUAAGUUUUAUUCUUCCAUCAACCCAAUUACUCAGGUUGUAUAACCUCUACUACUGUAUCAUACACAC